rnacentral:tRNA from 1 species
AGGAUAAUAGUUAAAAUAAAAUAACAUUUAAUUUGCUUUUAAAAAUUAUAAAAAAAAAUUUAUCUUA